GACGAACGCUGGCGGCGCGCCUAACACAUGCAAGUCGAACGAGCGAGAGAGAGCUUGCUUUCUCGAGCGAGUGGCGAACGGGUGAGUAACGCGUGAGGAACCUGCCUCAAAGAGGGGGACAACAGUUGGAAACGACUGCUAAUACCGCAUAAGCCCACGGGUCGGCAUCGACCAGAGGGAAAAGGAGCAAUCCGCUUUGAGAUGGCCUCGCGUCCGAUUAGCUGGUUGGUGAGGUAACGGCCCACCAAGGCGACGAUCGGUAGCCGGACUGAGAGGUUGAACGGCCACAUUGGGACUGAGACACGGCCCAGACUCCUACGGGAGGCAGCAGUGGGGAAUAUUGCACAAUGGGGGAAACCCUGAUGCAGCGACGCCGCGUGGAGGAAGAAGGUCUUCGGAUUGUAAACUCCUGUUGUUGGGGAAGAUAAUGACGGUACCCAACAAGGAAGUGACGGCUAACUACGUGCCAGCAGCCGCGGUAAAACGUAGGUCACAAGCGUUGUCCGGAAUUACUGGGUGUAAAGGGAGCGCAGGCGGGAAGACAAGUUGGAAGUGAAAUCUAUGGGCUCAACCCAUAAACUGCUUUCAAAACUGUUUUUCUUGAGUAGUGCAGAGGUAGGCGGAAUUCCCGGUGUAGCGGUGGAAUGCGUAGAUAUCGGGAGGAACACCAGUGGCGAAGGCGGCCUACUGGGCACCAACUGACGCUGAGGCUCGAAAGUGUGGGUAGCAAACAGGAUUAGAUACCCUGGUAGUCCACACCGUAAACGAUGAUUACUAGGUGUUGGAGGAUUGACCCCUUCAGUGCCGCAGUUAACACAAUAAGUAAUCCACCUGGGGAGUACGACCGCAAGGUUGAAACUCAAAGGAAUUGACGGGGGCCCGCACAAGCAGUGGAGUAUGUGGUUUAAUUCGACGCAACGCGAAGAACCUUACCAAGUCUUGACAUCCCUUGACAGACAUAGAAAUAUGUAUUCUCUUCGGAGCAAGGAGACAGGUGGUGCAUGGUUGUCGUCAGCUCGUGUCGUGAGAUGUUGGGUUAAGUCCCGCAACGAGCGCAACCCUUAUGGUCAGUUACUACGCAAGAGGACUCUGGCCAGACUGCCGUUGACAAAACGGAGGAAGGUGGGGAUGACGUCAAAUCAUCAUGCCCUUUAUGACUUGGGCUACACACGUACUACGAUGGCGUUAAACAAAGAGAAGCAAGACCGCGAGGUGGAGCAAAACUCAGAAACAACGUCCCAGUUCGGACUGCAGGCUGCAACUCGCCUGCACGAAGUCGGAAUUGCUAGUAAUCGUGGAUCAGCAUGCCACGGUGAAUACGUUCCCGGGCCUUGCACU
rnacentral:rRNA from 1 species